GCACCUCUGCAGCCAGCGCCCGCCCGCGCCCCCAGGCCGGCACGCUCGGCCCCGCGCCCGCGCAGCUCCAGCGCCCUCCCCGCAGCGCCCACUGCACGCCGGGGCUCCAGCUCCCCGCGCCGCGCUCCCUCCCGCUCGCCGCAGCCAGGCUCCGCCCCGAGCCGCGACCUGGCGCCUGCUGACCCCGCUGGUCCCGCGCUGCACCCGCGCGCGUGGCGGUAGUGGCUGUGCGCGGCUCUGCGGGAGCGGCGCCCCAGCUUCCUUUCAGCGCGGUGCUGGUGCAGGCAGGCACAGGGUUCUGUAUGCGGAAUGCAAGGGUUAGACGUGAGAACAGGGCUUCCACCACGCUGGGACUCCACAUGUCCUCCCCAGGCCAGUAUUACACCUGCAUUUACAGGCUUCCGGCCUGUGGCUUCCACAUGGAGAAAGGAAGAGUGAUUCUUGUCUACAUGCAAACUGGCAAAGCUGUUGUCAGUUGCAAUGAAGCGAUGGUGCCAGUACUCAUUUUGAGUGUUUUCAAAACUUUUCCCAUGGGAAAUAAGGUCUCAAAUUGUAAUACUUCAAACCCUGUUUCAUUUUGAAAAUUACCUAUUGAAUAAGAAAGAAAAUACAUGUAAAGACCAGAGGGCUAAGAUAUGUAGGUGCUGACUUAUUAUACAGUAGACACACUUUUAAAAGGAUAGGGUUUUCACAUACUGUGCCUCAGGCAAAAUGGUGUUGCAAGCGUUCUACUCUGGCUCUCCAACCUGCUGGCUAGAGUUUAUCGCACCUCCCCAACUGCAUAGACCAAUUCCUCUUUUCUUUUUAAAAAUUUCUCUCCCUUUCUUGUUUUCUGUAAAUAUACCCUCCCCCCCACACUCCUUAAAGCAUCACAAUUUUAAAAAUAUUAAAAGCAAACUUUUCCAACCCUUAUAUGCAUUGAACCUCAACCGAAUAUUUCUUGCCCAGUAGCCCUGUUCUUUGGUUUUUUAGACAAUUCUAAUUGCUUUAAGGUUGUUUUCUCCUCUUUUUGGUUUGCUUCAUAUAGUGAGUUCAACGUGCCUCUCAAUAACUUCUAGCCAUUAGGCCGAAUUUUUGUACCUGGGAGUCAUGCAGGCUUUUUGCACAUAGUUACACAUUUCCCUUGCCUAAUUCACCUUUGCUUGAAUAAUUUGUGUAGCAUAAUCACUUUAAAAUAUUAAAGGACUUUGCGUUUGUGUUCCCCACAGUUCUGCAUGUCCCUUGUCUUUCCUCCAUAUGACAUUCAUGCUUCCUGCACCAGAGAUGGGAAAAAAGCACCAUGAAGAGGAUGCAGUCGAUUCUGUGUUCUUGGGAAGAUCAGGGCAGAGCAGAAAGAGCACUGCAUUAAAAGCAUCAGCCCUACAGCAAUGAAGGACAGCACAUUAGGUCUUAUGUGUCUGGUGACCAGGACCAGGAAGUACAAUGGGUCCCUCAGGAAUGCAGCUUGGAUGGGUAACACCUUAGGGUUAGAUGGAUCGCAGGCCCCACAAUGCCGUAGAAACAAUGAGAGCAAGAAAUGGGAGCUAGAAUUGAACUAGAUUAGGUCUCUUCUACUCAUUGGGGCCGUGAAACACAGUUUUAGUUGAGUUCACAGAAAUUUCUGGUAAGAUUUGUUGUCUGAGCAUGUAGAAUGAGUUCCACAUUAGUUC
rnacentral:lncRNA from 1 species